GUGGAUCUCACACUCGCGGUGGCCCGAAGAGUUUUGCUGGACAAGCCAACCACGGUGGGUGAGAGUUUGCACUUGAGGUCGGCACACGUCCACUCCUCUUCUUCAUUCAAGGUGGGGAGGUAGCCACAUAAGACCUUUAGGCUCCCCAGUCCCCCGUUACUCAUGUAAGCUGUGUUUUCCCCCCCACUCCUCACAUAUUCCAGGUAAAUGUCAGAAGUCAAGAACACCUGGUAGGCAUUUUCCUCCAUCACUGCCUGGAUCUCGGUCUGUGCCUGGUCAAACAUGACCGAGCCGAUCUGUUGCUUCUUGAUGCCAUCUCGUAUGUAGGUCUUGGUGGCGGGCUUCAGCUGCUUGGAGACAACGCUGUUGUUCUCAAUGUACCUCUUAUAGAUUGCUUUGGCCACUCGCAAAGUUUUGGUAUCCUUCAGGUUCAUCUGCCUGAACCCAUUACAAGCAAACCAGAAGUCCAGCGUAUCCACACAUUUCUCCCUCUCCAGGAAAGUCCGGAAGAGGUAUGCACCAUCCUGGUCACCCAACAAGGAGUGUAAAGACUUGGUCCACCUGGUCAAAGGGGAAUCGGGGGAGGCCCGCCCCUCGGGCUCCCCCAGUCCAUCUUCAUUCCGCCUAGCAUUAGAGGAAACGGGCAUAGGUUUGGUGGACUGGACCUUGCCCACACUAGGCUGACACGGUGGGGUCUCCCCUUCUUCUCCCGGAACCGGGGGCCGCGGAGCAUCCUCGCGGAAGCUGCUGCUGGGAUCUGGAAGGAGAGUCACUAACACGGCGCUACUCAUGAGAGAAGAGAAACCUCGAGACCCGCCGCCCCCGGCUCCCCAGUCCACCUCCUAGAGCCACGAACCCAACAAAACCGGAUCAGAAGGCUUCUCACGCUA
rnacentral:lncRNA from 1 species